AUUGAACGCUGGCGGCAGGCCUAACACAUGCAAGUCGAGCGGAGCGGCGGACGGGUGAGUAAUGCCUAGGAAUCUGCCUGGUAGUGGGGGAUAACGUCCGGAAACGGGCGCUAAUACCGCAUACUAUCAGAUGAGCCUAGGUCGGAUUAGCUAGUUGGUGGGGUAAAGGCCUACCAAGGCGACGAUCCGUAACUGGUCUGAGAGGAUGAUCAGUCACAAUGGAACUGAGACACGGUCCAGACUCCUACGGGAGGCAGCAGUGGGGAAUAUUGGAAAAAGGGGGAAAGGCUGAUCCAGCCAUGCCGCGGUUGUGAAGAAGGUCUUCGGAUUGUAAAGCACUUUAAGUUGGGAGGAGUUAACAAAAGAAUAAGCACCGGCUAAAUUCGGGCCAGCCGCCGCGGUAAUUC
rnacentral:rRNA from 1 species